CCUAACCAUCCACAAGCAUUGUCAAGCCUUGGCAGCAUAUACAUGGAUUGCAACAUGAUGAGUGUUCCUGCAUCAUUCUAUAAGGCAACUUUAGCAGUUACAACAAGGAUAUCUGCGCCCUUCAACAACUUGGCUAUUAUAUACAAGCAACAGAUACUAGGCAGCACCUACACAGCUACACUGCUAGUUCAACCUUUGCUUCCGGUGUGGAUAUUCAAUCAUGAGAAUUGCUGCUU